GUUGGAUAACUGAGGUAAUUCUUGAGCUAAUACACGCUAUUUAUACCACAUUAGUGGUGCGUUUAUUUGAUUAAACCAUUUAUACUGGUUGACUCAAAAUAUCCUCGCUGAUUUUGUUACUAAAACAUACCGUAUGUGUAUCUGGUUUAUCAACUUUCGAUGGUAGGGUAUUGGCCUACCAUGGUUGUGACGGAUAACGGAGAAUUAGGGUUCGACUCCGGAGAGGGAGCCUGAGAAACGGCUACCACAUCCAAGGAAGGCAGCAGGCGCGAAAAUUACCCAAUUUUAGUUAAAAGAGGUAGUGACGAAAAAUGACAACCAAAUAUUAUUAUUAAUAUUUGGAUUGAAAAUCUUCAAGUUUAAAUAACUUGUUGGUAAAGGAAAGGGCAAGUCUGGUGCCAGCAGCCGCGGUAAUACCAGCUUUCCAAGUGCAUAAAAUGAUUGUUGUGGUUAAAAAGCUCGUAGUUGGAUUAUAAAGAUUGUAUAAUGAGCAUCUUGGAUGUUAUUAAUCAUUAUCAUCUUAUAUUUUUAUUAUAUUAGAAAUAAUAUAAUAACCUGUUACUUUGAAUAAAUCAGAGGGUUUAAACCAGACAUUAUAUGUUUGUAUGGUCUAGCAUGGAAUAACACUAUAGAAAAAUUUAGUGUGGUUUCACUUAAUUUUUCAUGAUUAAUAGGAACAAACGGGGGCAUUCGUAUCGCUACGUUAGAGGUGAAAUUCUUGGACCGUAGCGAGACGUCCUACUGCGAAAGCAUUUGCCAAGAAUGUUUUCAUUAAUCAAGAACGAAAGUUAGAGGUUCGAAGGCGAUCAGAUACCGCCCUAGUUCUAACCGUAAACUAUGCCUACUAGAUGUAUGAAUUAUUAGUUAUAAUAAUUUAUGCAUCUUCUCGGAAACGAAAGUCUU
rnacentral:rRNA from 1 species